rnacentral:rRNA from 1 species
GACGAACGCUGGCGGCGUGCCUAAUACAUGCAAGUUGAGCGAUGAAGAUUGGUGCUUGCACCAAUUUGAAGAGCAGCGAACGGGUGAGUAACGCGUGGGGAAUCUGCCUUUGAGCGGGGGACAACAUUUGGAAACGAAUGCUAAUACCGCAUAACAACUUUAAACAUAAGUUUUAAGCUUGAAAGAUGCAAUUGCAUCACUCAAAGAUGAUCCCGCGUUGUAUUAGCUAGUUGGUGAGGUAAAGGCUCACCAAGGCGAUGAUACAUAGCCGACCUGAGAGGGUGAUCGGCCACAUUGGGACUGAGACACGGCCCAAACUCCUACGGGAGGCAGCAGUAGGGAAUCUUCGGCAAUGGACGAAAGUCUGACCGAGCAACGCCGCGUGAGUGAAGAAGGUUUUCGGAUCGUAAAACUCUGUUGGUAGAGAAGAACGUUGGUGAGAGUGGAAAGCUCAUCAAGUGACGGUAACUACCCAGAAAGGGACGGCUAACUACGUG